GGAUGUGAGGGCGAUCUGGCUGUGACAUCUGUCACGCCAUCAAUCACCAGGGUUGAUUGGGCUGAUCUGGCCGGUUAGGCGAGUGUCUCCUCCCUCCCUCACUGCUCCAGGUUGUGUCCCUCGUGAAGCUGCGUGCUCAGUUGAAGAGGACGGCCUUCCCUGAGUAGAGACUGACCAGCCUUCGGUUGAGGGUACGCUGCGCUUCCCUGCUAGAACCUCCAAACAAGCUCUCAAAAUAUAAACAUUUUUGUAUAUAUGUGCGCACAUAGAAAGAGAGGUGAGGUGGGGGAGUGUUAGAUAUGUGA
ensembl:misc_RNA 7SK 7SK RNA